CCCCAGAUGUUGCUGAACUACAACUCCCAUGACAGAUAGCCAGGGAAUCAUGGGAGUUGUAGUUCAGCAACAUCUGGGG